GACGAACCGUGCGAACGUUGUUCGGAUUCACUGGGCUUAAAGGACGCGUAGGCGGACGGUCAAGUCAGGGGUGAAAUCUUUCAGCUCAACUGGAAAAGUGCCUUUGAUACUGAUCGUCUCGAGGGAGGUAGGGGCAUGUGGAACUUCCGGUGGAGCGGUGAAAUGCGUAGAUAUCGGAAGGAACGCCGGUGGCGAAAGCGACGUGCUGGACCUCUUCUGACGCUGAGGCGCGAAAGCUAGGGGAGCAAACAGG
rnacentral:rRNA from 1 species